ACGGUAAGCUAAUCUCUUAAAACUUCUCUCAGUUCGGACUGGAGUCUGCAACUCGACUCCACGAAGGCGGAAUCGCUAGUAAUCGCGAAUCAGCAUGUCGCGGUGAAUACGUUCCCGGGUCUUGUACACACCGCCCGUCAAAUCAUGGGAGUCGGAAGUACCCAAAGUCGCUUGGCUAACUUUUAGAGGCCGGUGCCUAAGGUAAAAUCGAUGACUGGGAUUAAGUCGUAACAAGGUAGCCGUAGGAGAACCUGCGGCUGGAUCACCUCCUUUCUAAGGA
rnacentral:rRNA from 1 species